CCGCCUCGGGGCUCACAGCCACAUGAAGGGAUCUGCCGGAGGAAACAGUGACCGCAUCAGAACCGGGUCCGGGCGAGCCUGGAACCAGCCCUUGAAGGUCUGAAAUGGAUUAUACAGAAACAUGUAAAGCCCAAGAGAAACUUGACCCUCCUCCUAGCUGUGUUGUCUUCACAUCUGAUAAAUCUUUCACUCAAGAUGAGGAAAAAAACAACUCUGAAAUACAUAAUAAAAAGGAAAAUACAAUAGAAGAGACAAAGCACUCUUGUCUGUUUUUCCAAGGUUUUUUAAAUAAAAUUCUCAGUAAUAAUUACUCUUCUCAA